GUGGGGAAUAUUGGACAAUGGGCGAAAGCCUGAUCCAGCCAUGCCGCGUGUGUGAAGAAGGUCUUCGGAUUGUAAAGCACUUUAAGUUGGGAGGAAGGGCAGUAAGUUAAUACCUUGCUGUUUUGACGUUACCGACAGAAUAAGCACCGGCUAACUUCGUGCCAGCAGCCGCGGUAAUACGAAGGGUGCAAGCGUUAAUCGGAAUUACUGGGCGUAAAGCGCGCGUAGGUGGUUUUGUAAGUUGGAGGUGAAAUCCCCGGGCUCAACCUGGGAACUGCCUCCAAAACUGCAUGACUAGAGUACGGUAGAGGGUAGUGGAAUUUCCUGUGUAGCGGUGAAAUGCGUAAAUAUAGGAAGGAACACCAGUGGCGAAGGCGACUACCUGGACUGAUACUGACGCUGAGGUGCGAAAGCGUGGGGAGCAAACAGGAUUAGAUACCCGGGUAGUCC
rnacentral:rRNA from 1 species